GACGAACGCUGGCGGCGUGCCUAAUACAUGCAAGUCGAACGCAUUUUCUUUCACCGUAGCUUGCUACACCGAAAGAAAAUGAGUGGCGAACGGGUGAGUAACACGUGGGUAACCUGCCCAUCAGCGGGGGAUAACACUUGGAAACAGGUGCUAAUACCGCAUAAUUCCAUUUACCGCAUGGUAGAUGGAUGAAAGGCGCUUUUGCGUCGCUGAUGGAUGGACCCGCGGUGCAUUAGCUAGUUGGUGGGGUAACGGCCUACCAAGGCUGCGAUGCAUAGCCGACCUGAGAGGGUGAUCGGCCACACUGGGACUGGGACACGGCCCAGACUCCUACGGGAGGCAGCAGUAGGGAAUCUUCGGCAAUGGACACAAGUCUGACCGAGCAACGCCGCGUGAGUGAAGAAGGUUUUCGGAUCGUAAAACUCUGUUGUUAGAGAAGAACAAGGAUGAGAGUGGAAAGUUCAUCCCUUGACGGUAUCUAACCAGAAAGCCACGGCUAACUACGUG
rnacentral:rRNA from 1 species